CUCUGAUGACAACUGAACUAUGAACCAAUCUGAUCUCACCAUUUGUUGAAGAGGCCGUCUUUGUCCAGGGUGUUUCUGGCAUCUUUGUUGUAUUGGAGAUGUGACAGCUGUCUAGGGGAUUGAUGAAUUUGCUCCCUGACACGAACAAAGAAUUGAAUGACUAGGAAGACAGAAAACACAGCUUUAUCCUGUCAAGAUGGGAGAAAUCUAAAGCUGGAAGUCCAUUAAACAGAGGCUGACUUGGACACAGGACUUAGAGGAUUUGAGCUGAAGCUGACCUGAAAGCCUCUUCCCUGAGGACUAGCUUUCCCAGUAAUGGAAGGCGCUGUACAAGCUGCUGGAAGAGGGAAGCCGUCAACUGUCUGUGAGGCCUAUGACCAAAGCAUGAGCAGCAUUGAUAUGUGUAGCUCUCACCCCUCAUCAAAGACGCUUCCCUUUACAAAAGACAGAGACAAUCCAGAAAACCCCAAGUGGUCACAGUGCAGAGAACAAGUGAUGGGUUGAAGUGUGCAUCUUGACUGUCUCUUGAGAGCGUGUUGGCAUCAGGAAAGGUAUGAGCAUCGGUCUCUGCAAGGCUUGGAAUAUCUAACAGAGAUAGUGCCUACAGAAAGCAGGUAUGCUCUGCGCUGGCUGCUUACUGUUGCUGCCCUUUGUCUACAUGGAUCUCGUGAUGUGGACAUGGAGUCAUUGUGCUAGAGUGGGGUAUGUUCGUGUUUUUGAGGUGAGUAAGGACAUGUCUUCGGUCUAGCACAAAAUAGCCCAUUGAGCAGCACGUGACAGUGAGAAGGUUGAGGUCAGUGCUUACCUUUGUUGAGCUGUGCAUCCUUCCUCAUCCCAUGUGUGGAACCGGGGUCAGGUCACUAUGGGGGAGCAGGUGUCCAGAAAAUAGGGUUUGCUGAGCUAAUUUUGGGCAGUUGAAAGUGCCACAUUAUUGCUACAAUGAGUGGAGACUUUGGGGCAGCGGAGUAUGGCUUUCUGUCUGCUUUCAGCUCUCUCUUCCAAGUGAUCCUGCUUUUUUGCUGCGGUACCAGCAAGAGUGAAGAAGGAGGUAAUGUCUGGCCUUCAGUGGGACAGAUUGGAAGCAAUAGAGAUACAGCAAUCUAAAACAUAUUAGAAGGCACUUUCUGAGAGCAAUCUUAGGUUAUUCUUAAAGAUACUCACUAGAAAAUUCAUUGGCGUACAUUUCUAUUUGACUUAUUUUGCUGCUGUAAUUAAGAAAAAUUUCUAACAACAGGUAUACAGUGAUGUCAAACAGAAACCCCUUUUGAUAUUACCAAAUGAAAGUCAAAAAAUGCUCCUCCUUCACCUGGACUUCUUGAUUCCCUUUGGUGUGUUCCACCCUAGAGUAACAUGGCACCAAACAGACAGUUCCUUGGCAUCCAGGAAUUUUAUGUUCUAUUAUGUGUGUGUGUCUAUUUAUAGAUCUGUAUACAAUUGGUGGGAAUUUUAUACAUAGCUACAAUGAAAGAUAAUUAUGUGUGAUCCUCAGUUUCCCUCUCCAACUUCUGUCAUGUCCCCCAGCCCCCAGCACGCCCCUCUUAACUUCUGUCAUGUCCCCCAGCCCCCAGCACGCCCCUCUUAACUUCAUGUCUUCUUUUUUGUAGCCCUCUCAGCCCAGUUAUUGCUCCCUAAAGGAAACCUAGCAGUAAAAACCCUCAAAAAGCAACGGUUCUCCCUCUCCCCGCAGCUGUUGGCUGUCAAUAGCGUUUCUUCUUUAAGGAGAGAAUCCAGACGAGCACCCCUCUCUGAGUGUGGGCUGACUUGAUCUUCUGCAGGUACACACAGCUGAUGUCAGUUCAUGACUCUGGUCACCACGUCAUGUCCAGAAGACAGCAUGUUUUGCAGUGGCAGCAGUCAAUGAGGAGAUGCAAGAUCGGUCAGAGUGCUCAGAGGAAGACUGCUCUGUUUCAGAGAGGUGUUCCUGCCUCCAGGUUCUUGCCUUGACUCCAUGGAUGGUGGACUACAAGCUAAGAAGAAGGAAACGAUUUCCUCCUCCCAGGUUGCUCUUGGUCAUGGUGUUUUAUCACAGCAGUGCAGACCUGCGGCUCCACGUAUGUAAUUCUUCCCAUGGAUAGGAUCCAGAGUUGGGUAAGGGCAUUGAUGGCUUUUCCCCACAACCUGCAUGGGGUCUUCCAGCACUGUGCACACCAGCCAGCAGUAGCCAGCUUAGCGGUAGCUUCCUUCAGUGAUAUAGUCUUCCCAUCUAGUUCUGGCGGCUGACCCAACAAUGGCAGUACUGUCCAUUGUUUGGGAGCCUCUACCCAACAACUCAGAAGGAAAUAACCCACAACUGGCGUUGACAUUUUUGUUUCAAAAUCUACGGUUUUUGUGAGCAGCAUUAUUCGCUCGUUUAGGGUAUCACCAUUUAAAAAUUUUAGCUCUCUAAUUGGACUUAAGGCCUGCUUAAUAGGAGAGAAACCACGGCUGGUACUGAAAACCUAGCCAACUACCCAGGGCUAGUGAAGUCAUGGAUCUUGGAGGGGAACCCACAACCACCACUCUACUAAACCAUCAUAAUCCCUAACUAUGCUCUUAACUCCUUGUAUUCACAGGUAAGUAGAGUCCUCUCUCAUCAUUUUUUUUUCUGUUUGCAACAGACAGAGACUACUACAGAAAACAACAACCCAUCAAGCUGCAGAGUUGUGGAGCCUGUCCCAGUGGAUACAUCUGCAAAACAACUGCACCUAAGGCUCUGGGAAGAUUUUUAGAAUAGGAGGCAGAAAGAUUCUGAGAACUAGAGGAUCAGGGAACAAGCUGUGAGGCUCUGUCUCCUAGUAAUGCCAUGACUUACCCAUAAUGUGUCAGCACUGUGACUGCCCAAACAUAAGCUGAACAGGAACAAAAACAGACAUGCCCAAAUGGACAGGGGAUGCCCGCUAGGCCUCAGCCCUAUACAAAGAACAAUGAGGCAACUAAGGAAUACUGAGAGCUGAAGAAACAGUCUUCUCCAGAGAAGAGCAUAGCAAUUGUUUGUCCCAUACCAAAUGAUCAGUCCUGGAAGCAUACAUACAAGUAACAUGAUAAACACUGAGGGGCUAUAUUUAGAAGUAGAUAUGUAUAUACAUCAGCAUACACAUAUGCAUGAAACCAGUUCAUGAAAAAAGAGGCCAUAAAUUUGAAAGAGAACAAGGAGGGGUAUAUGUGCGUUUUUAGAAGGAGGAAAAGAAAGGAAGGAAAGGUGGAAUUAUAAUGACAAAAAGAAAACAAAUCUUUAGUUAUCUUCUAAAUUUAGGAAGUUUCUGCCUGGCUGUUGCCUCUGUCCUAAGUUUCGGUUGACCCUUUUCUCAACCCCAUUGCCCCUGACACCGUCCUUGUUUAAGCCUUUCGAGUCCUUGUAUUCCCCCAAUGGCACUUCCAUGUCACAAGCAUUUUACUGCCCCUUCCCUCAAGAGCGACUCUUGCUCCCUGACUUGUACAGACAGUAACUCCUAUUUAAACACAGAAAUGCAAAACUGUGUGAGAGAACACGUGGCUGCUGUGGCCAUUGUGACAAAGACGCUCAAACAUACAUUAGAGAACAGGAGGGCAUCCUGUUGACGUAUAGUUCUGGGGAAACGAGAUAGACACGUAGAAGACUCCAACUGGAUUCCUAUCAUUUAUCCUGAAGAAAAAUCAGUUCUAAAGGGAUCAAAGAACUUAAGAGACCAGAAAUUCUGAACAUGUCAGAGGAAGGUAGAGGGAAAAUUCCACAACAGAGGGUACAGCCAAGAACUUUCUCAAAAGGUUCAAUAGCUCAGGGAAUGUUCUACAUAUUUGGUGGAUGGGGUUAUGAGUAAUUAACAGCUUUCUCCACAGCAAAAGCAAGUGCACUGCCGGAGUGAAGAGACAGCAUUUGGAAUGGGUGAAAAAUAUUUGCUACAUAUCCAGCAGGCAGAAAAUUAAUGAAUACGCAGAUAAUCCUACCAACUACAAAAGAACCAAACAACGUAAA